rnacentral:rRNA from 1 species
CUACGGGUCGCAGCAGUGAGUCCUAUUGCACCCUUUUUUUAACCCUUAUUCCUCCCCGCCUCGUGGAGGAUGACGCAUUUCGGUGUGUAAACUCCUUUUAUAUGUCAAGAAAAUGACGGUAGCAUAUGAAUAAGCACCGGCUAACUCCGUGCCAGCAGCCGCGGUAAUACGGAGGGUGCAAGCGUUACUCGGAAUCACUGGGCGUAAAGGACGCGUAGGCGGGUUGGAAAGUCAGGUGUGAAAUCCUACAGCUUAACUGUAGAACUGCACUUGAAACUUCUAAUCUAGAGUAUGGGAGGGGGAGAUGGAAUUAGUGGUGUAGGGGUAAAAUCCGUAGAUAUCACUAGGAAUACCUAAAGCGAAGGCGAUCUCCUGGAACAUUACUGACGCUAAGGCGUGAAAGCGUGGGGAGCAAACAGGAUUAGAUACCCCAGUAGUC